UUUACGCGUCACUCCUCCUCUUGUUCUAAUCAGAAGCGAGGCAAUCUCGAUAUGAGAUAUACAUUUUUUUUUAUGAUCCGCAUAUCCGAACUAGAAGUCCUACCUAAUCACCUGAACCAACUCAUCAGUGACAUGCAAGCUCCGGUACGUGUAGAUAUCUACGCCGUCUUACUACACAUAUGGAUAAAUCUAAUUGUUAAAUUUCGAACCAAUGACACUAACACAAUUUUUCGAACCCACUGUACACAUUUCUGCACGUGACUUUUUGUAUCUUGUUCUUUUACCCCCUUGCAUGUUUUUUUCCUCAUUCUUGGUUGUAUUCUUGUUGAAACUCCUUUUGCUUUAAAAAGUUAUCAACAAUCUUUUAUGGAAGUGACUGGAAGAGGCUUAUUUCUACAGUCUUCUUUUAAAACAAUCAUGUUUUUUUUAAUUGAAUCUAAAGGCAAAACAUUAUAAAAUGAAAUAUAAAAUAUUGCUUCUAAAAAUUAAUUUCUCUAGAGUUUUUAUUCAAUGCUUUAUAAGAAUCUACAACAAAAGAAAUCAAAAGCCAUAACUAAAAAUCUAAACAUAAAUAUUAAAAAGCAAAAAAAAAAAUAAAGCCACAACUUCAACCAAUCAAACCCUAUAUAAUCAUAAUCCAAGAUUUAAAAUCUUAUUCUAUCUAAAAUUCUUAAGAAAAUAUUUUGCUGUAUAAAGUGGGAGGAUAUUUUUAUAAUCAAAACAUUACAAAAUUAGAAUAUCAAAGAAAUAUAAAGGAAAACUCUGACUUUUGACUGAUACGUAAUCCCGCCAAAUUCAAGCUUUAAACAAAUGUUUUCGACCAAACCUAGCUACCAAAUGCUUUAAACUCUGAGUUUUGACUGAUAUUUUUUUUAUCAUAUGUUUGAUUAAUAAAUUUCUCUAGAGAAUAAAAGGUUAGUCCGGGUUAGUCCAAAUUAAUUAUAAGAUUGCCACAUAAGCAAUGUAGAAACCUAAGGUAUUGACGACUUAUCAAGAUUAAAAUGUAAUUAAUACAAAAUAGAAGAUUACAUUUUUCGAAUGAUCCUUAGAUAAUGUACAGUAGAAAAUUUUAUAAAUUAAUAUUUAAUAAAUUGAUAUUUGAUAAAUUAAUAAAUACUAUAAAUUAAUAAAUUUUCUAGUCUCAAAUUGGACCAAUUCAUAAUAUGACACAAAUCAAUAAAAUAAUAAGAUAAUAUUUUUUAGUAACUUUUACGUAAAUAUAUGGUCUCAUUAAAAUUAUAAAUUAAUAAUUUAUAUGUAUAUACAUUUUAAUAAGUAUUAACCAACCAUUAUAUUGUUUAUCUUUAUAUUUCUUAACACUUAAUAUAUUUUGAUGAGAUUUAAUAAUAUUAUAUCUAAAACCGUAUUUAAAUUCUAUGAGACAUAUUUCAUAUACACUAAAUAACAUAAUAAAACUAAUAUAAGUGCCAAAUUUCAAAAAUAUAAUUAAUGUAUAUAGACUAAAAUAAAAUAUUUUUCUUAUUUUAUAAAAAUAUAUUUUAAAUAGAAAAAUCUAAAAAAAUGAAACUUUUUGUAAGUUAAUAACUCUAUAAAUUAAUAAAAUACCAAAGUCCCAACAUUAUUAACUUAUAGAACUUUACUGUGUAUAGGAUUAAAAGAAAAAUUAAUAUCAAUUUUAUUUAUCUAUAUAUAUUAGAAGAAAAAUAAAUUAAAAUAUCCACUUAAACUAUAAAAUAUUAUUAUGGUUUGGGUAACUUGCCCUCUAGGCCGUACCAGUGUAAGAUAUGUAUCUAAAAUUCUUUAGAAAAGAUUUUGUUGUAUGAGUGGUGAGAUACUUUCUAUAAUCAAAUUCUUACAAAUUUAGAAGAGUUAUUCUUGGGUUCACCCCAUAGGAUGAACUUAUAGGUUCACAAACAAUAUGAUUUCAUUAUUUUAAACUCGAUAUCUUUUGGAAAAAGAAAUAAAAUAUUGUCAAGUUAUAUUAUAUUUUUAAAAUGAAAAGAUAAAAAAAAAAUAGUAGCUACAGAAAAAAGAAGUUAAAAAAUAGCUACAGAAAAAAGAAGUUAAAAAAUAUUUUUAACAUCGUCAUCAAAACACUAAACCCUAAACCCUAAAAUCUUAAACUCUAAACCCUUGGAUAAACCCUAAUUCCUUGGAUAAAUCAUAAAAUCUAAAUCAAAAACACUAAACACUAAAACACUAAACUCUAAAUCCUAAAUCCUAGUCUGUCACGGGAGGAACCUAGCUUCUUCAGCAAAACUGGAGGAACCCCUUGAGUCUCUAACAUCAGAAUCCGAACAAAAGACCUACAGGUCGGCCACAGCUGCCUACGAUCCAGUGUGCAGGGUGCUCGCUUAAAAAAAGUGAUCGGAGAUAUAUCUUUCGAUCGAGCUGCUAUCUUAUUGAACAUGCGCAGAGAGUGGCUACUGCUAGUGUUUAGUGUUUAGUGUUUUUGAUUUAGAGUUUGAGAUUUAUCUAAGGGUUUAUAGUUUAUCCAAAAGUUUAGGAUUUAGUAUUUAGGGUUUAGAGAUUAGGAUUUAGGGUUUAGUGUUUUACUGACGACGUUAAUUUUUUUUUUGUUGUAAUUACUACUAUUUUUUUAUUUUCUAUUUUUAUUCUUUUAAAAACAUAAUAUAAUUUGACAAUAUCUCAUUUUUUUUAAAAGAUAUCAAAAAUAAAAUAACACAAUCAUAUUGGUUGGUAAACUUUAGGAGGUGAACCCAAAAAUAAGUCAAUUAAGAAUACCAAAGAAAAAACAGACUUUGACUAUGACUGAUAUGUAGUCCUGACUUUGACUAUGACUUUACACAAAUGUUUUCCACCAACCACCUAACACAAUUAAUAUAAAAGGCGAACUUGGUUUUCAUCACAGAAAGACACACUACUUUUUGAGUCUUACAUCACUCAGUCAUGGGGAAUAUCGUCGGCUACUUCAGCAUAGGAUGGAGAAGAAAUGUUCCUCCAACGACGGAAACAUCUACUGUUCAACCACGAUCACAUUCACAGAGUGUAGUUAAUCAAUCUGUAUCCGCAGCCUCGAAGUCGAAACCUUCUUCGUCCAGAACUAUGGUAGAGCCGCCUCGAAACGGAGCAAGGUGAGAUUAAGUCAAGUGUGAUGAAGUAGUUGCUAUUGGUGAAUGUGACCAGUUAUAAGUUGUAGGACAUUUAAUAAUAUCCAAACUUUAUGACAUGUAAUGUAAUAUUAUGCAACUUUGUGAUCAUACUCUUACUUUUAUUUUAUACAAUCCUUCUUCAAUAUAUAUGUGUCCUCUCUUGUGCAUUACUUCUUAUUUUUAGUAGACAUAAAACAG
rnacentral:lncRNA from 1 species